GAUGUGACUGUAAUAUCUGUCAUCUCACUUGCUGCAGGGUUGACUUCCAGGAUCUGUUAGCUAGGGAUGCGGCCCCUUCUUUUCUCAGUGCUCAUCCAGAAGCUGCAUGCUCAGUGAGGAUAAUCUCUCUCACCGAGAAGGUCUGUACUUCUGUUAAAGGUAUAUGAGUAGCCCUGUGUUCCUGCUAACGCUUUCCCAAGGCUCUCAGGGUCUACAGGUUUGUAUCGGGUAUGCUAAAAAAGCCAUAUGCUUUGUUUUAAGGACU
rnacentral:snRNA from 1 species